UACGUAGGUGGCAAGCGUUGUCCGGAUUUAUUGGGCGUAAAGGGGGCGCGGGCGGUUCCUUAAGUCUGAUGUGAAAGCCCACGGCUCAACCGUGGAAGGUCAUUGGAAACUGGGGAACUUGAGUGCAGAAGAGGAGAGUGGAAUUCCAUGUGUAGCGGUGAAAUGCGUAGAUAUAUGGAGGAACACCAGUGGCGAAGGCGACUCUCUGGUCUGCAACUGACGCUGGGGUGCGAAAGCAUGGGGAGCGAACAGG
rnacentral:rRNA from 1 species